ensembl:rRNA 5S_rRNA 5S ribosomal RNA
GUCUACAGCCAUACCACCCUGGACGCACCUGAUCUCAUCUGAUCUCAGAAGCUAAGCAGGGUCGGGCAUGGUUAGUACUUGGAUGGGAGAAAAUACAAGAGAAUUGACC